UACGGAGGGUGCGAGCGUUAAUCGGAAUUACUGGGCGUAAAGCGUACGUAGGCGGUUGGUUAAGUUAGAUGUGAAAGCCCCGGGCUUAACCUGGGAACUGCAUUUAAAACUGGCGAACUAGAGUUGAGUAGAGGGGAGUGGAAUUUCAGGUGUAGCGGUGAAAUGCGUAGAGAUCUGAAGGAACACCAGUGGCGAAGGCGACUCCCUGGACUCGAACUGACGCUGAGGUACGAAAGCGUGGGUAGCAAGCGGGAUUAGAAACCCCGGUAGUCC
rnacentral:rRNA from 1 species